CAGCAGCCGCGGGAAUACGAAGGGUGCAAGCGUUAAUCGGAAUUACUGGGCGUAAAGCGUGCGUAGGCGGUGAGUUAAGUCUGCUGUGAAAUCCCCGGGCUCAACCUGGAAAUGGCAGUGGAUACUGGCUCGCUAGAGUGUGUCAGAGGAUGGUGGAAUUCCCGGUGUAGCGGUGAAAUGCGUAGAGAUCGGGAGGAACAUCAGUGGCGAAGGCGGCCAUCUGGGACAACACUGACGCUGAGGCACGAAAGCGUGGGGAGCAAACAGGAUUAGAUACCCCCGUAGUCCCUGUCUCUUAUAC
rnacentral:rRNA from 1 species